rnacentral:rRNA from 1 species
UACGUAGGGGGCGAGCGUUGUCCGGAUUUAUUGGGCGUAAAGAGCUCGUAGGCGGUUUGGUAAGUUGGAUGUGAAAUCUCCAGGCUCAACUUGGAGGGGUCAUUCGAUACUGCCAUGACUAGAGUUCGGUAGGGGAGUGUGGAAGUUCCUGGUGGAGCGGUGAAAUGCGCAGAUAUCAGGAGGAACACCCGUAGCGAAGGCGGCACUCUGGGCCGGAACUGACGCUGAGGAGCGAAAGCGUGGGGAGCGAACAGG